AUUGAACGCUGGCGGCAGGCCUAACACAUGCAAGUCGAGCGGAUGAAGGGAGCUUGCUCCUGGAGCCAGCGUCGGACGGGUGAGUAAUGCAUAUGAAUCUGCCUGGUAGGGGGGUAUAACGUCCUGAAACGGGUGCUAAUACUACAUACGUCCAGAUGGAGAAAGUGGGGGAUCUUCGGACCGCUCGCUAGCAGAGGAGCCGAGGUGGGAGUAGCUAGUUGGUUGGGUGAACGCCUACCAAGCCGACGAUUCGUAAAUGGUCUGAGAGGAGGAGCAGUCACACGGGAAGGGAGACACGGUCCAGGCUACUGCGGGAGGGCGCAGUGGGGAAUGGUGGGCAACAGGCGCAAACCUGACCCAACCAUGCCAAGUCUGAUACAAAGGUCUUGGGAUUGUAAAGACCGUUAAGUUGGGAGGAAGGGCAGUAAGUUAAGACCUAGCUGUUUUGACGUUACCAAGUAAAUAAGCACCGGCUAACUUCGUG
rnacentral:rRNA from 1 species